rnacentral:lncRNA from 1 species
CCGGUGCUUGACACUUAGCGACCACUCUGUAAAUAACUGAGUCCUGCUGGUGUUGCCAUCACACACACACACUCGUGCACACAGCACAUGCACACAUGACAUGCCCGUGCACCACACCACAUGCAAGCACUCACACACACCACAUGCACUCACACCACAUGCACUCACACACACCACAUGCAUGCACUCACACACGUAUGCACUCACACCACAUGCACUCACACCAACCACAUGCACUCACACCACAUGCACUCACACCACAUGCAUUCACACACCACAUGCACUCACACCACAUGCAUUCACACACCACAUGCACUCACACCACAUGCACUCACACCCACCACAUGCACUCACAUCACAUGCAUUCACACACACCACAUGCACUCACACACACCACAUGCACUCACACCACAUGCAUUCACACACCACAUGCACUCACACCACAUGCACUCACACCACAUGCAUGCACUCACACACACCACAUGCAUUCACACGCACCACAUGCACUCACACCACAUGAAUUCACACACACACCACAUGCACUCACACACACCACAUGCACUCACCACAUGCAUUCACACACCACAUGCACUCACACACACCACAUGCACUCACACCACAUGCAUGCACUCACACACCACAUGCAUUCACACGCACAUGCACUCACACCACAUGCAUUCACACACACCACAUGCACUCACACACACCACAUGCACUCACACACACCACAUGCAUGCACUCACACACACCACAUGCACUCACACCACAUGCAUUCACACACACCACAUGCACUCACACACACCACAUGCAUGCACUCACACCACAUGCAUGCACUCACACACACCACAUGCACUCACACCACAUGCACUCACACACACCACAUGCACUCACACACACCACAUGCACUCACACCACAUGCAUUCACACACACACCACAUGCACUCACACCACAUGCAUUCACAUGCACCACAUGCACUCACACCACACGCAUGCACUCACACACACCACAUGCACUCACACCACAUGCACUCACACCACAUGCAUGCACUCACACCACAUGCAUGCACUCACACACCACAUGCAUGCACUCACCACAUGCAUGCACUCACACACACCACAUGCAUGUACACA